rnacentral:ribozyme from 1 species
ACGAGACAACUUUUUUUUUUUGUUCAGUUCGGUUUUUCUUUUUUCUUUUUUUCUUUUCGUU